rnacentral:rRNA from 1 species
UCGAGGAGUGGCUUUCGGAGCUAACGCGUUAAAUCGACCGCCUGGGGAGUACGGCCGCAAGGUUAAAACUCAAAUGAAUUGACGGGGGCCCGCACAAGCGGUGGAGCAUGUGGUUUAAUUCGAUGCAACGCGAAGAACCUUACCUACUCUUGACAUCCUGAGAACUUAGCAGAGAUGGUUUGGUGCCUUCGGGAACUAAGAGACAGGUGCUGCAUGGCUGUCGUCAGCUCGUGUUGUGAAAUGUUGGGUUAAGUCCCGCAACGAGCGCAACCCUUAUCCUUUGUUGCCAGCGAUUCGGUCGGGAAUUCAAAGGAGA